rnacentral:tRNA from 1 species
GAUGAUGUAGUCAAGUGGCUUAAGACAAUGGAUUGCAAACCCAUUAUUCCUCAGUUCGAAUCUGAGCAUCAUCUCCA